rnacentral:rRNA from 1 species
CCUAGUAACUGCGAGUGAAGCGGGAAAAGCUCAAAUUUAGAAUCCUUCGGGAGUUGUAAUCUAGAGAAGUGUUUUCGGCCGUGGGCUCAGACAAGUCCCUUGGAACAGGGCGUCAUAGAGGGUGAGAAUCCCGUGCUUGCUGAGAUUAAGCCACGUCUGUGUGAUACGCUUUCGAAGAGUCGAGUUGUUUGGGAAUGCAGCUCAAAAAGGGUGGUAAACUCCAUCUAAAGCUAAAUAUUGGCGAGAGACCGAUAGCGAACAAGUACCGUGAGGGAAAGAUGAAAAGCACUUUGGAAAGAGAGUUAAACAGUACGUGAAAUUGUUGAAAGGGAAGCGCUUGAAGUCAGUCGCGUCCAUGGAGAGUCAGCGUCGCGGCGCAUUUCUUCGUGGACGGGCCAACAUCAGUUUUGGCCGCGGGAAAAGGACAUGAGGAAUGUGGCAGCUCYGGCUGUGUUAUAGCCUUGUGUCGUACACCGCGGGUGGGACUGAGGACCGCUUGAUAGGAUGUUGGCGUAAUGGCUUUAAGCGACCCGUCUUGAAACACGGACCAAGGAGUCUAACAUGUGUGCGAGUGUUUGGGUGUUAAAACCCAUGCGCGUAAUGAAAGUGAACGCAGGUGGGAGGCCUUGGCCGCACCAUCGACCGAUCUGGAACUUUAGUGAUGGAUUUGAGUAAGAGCAUAUAUGUUGGGACCCGAAAGAUGGUGAACUAUGCCUGAAUAGGGUGAAGCCAGAGGAAACUCUGGUGGAGGCUCGUAGCGAUUCUGACGUGCAAAUCGAUCGUCAAAUUUGGGUAUAGGGGCGAAAGACUAAUCGAACCAUCUAGUAGCUGGUUCCUGC